ensembl:misc_RNA Metazoa_SRP Metazoan signal recognition particle RNA
GCCAGGUGUGGUGGUGCACACCUGUAGUCUCAGCUGCUUGAGAGGCUGAGGCAUGAGGAUUGCUUGAGCCCAGGAGUCUGAGGCUGCAGUGAGCCAUGAUCACACUACUGCACCCCAGCCUGGGCAACAGAGUAAGACUCUAUCUCUA